AACGUACGCUAGCGGCAGGCUUAACACAUGCAAGUCGAACGCCCCGCAAGGGGAGUGGCAGACGGGUGAGUAACGCGUGGGAAUCUACCUAGUUCUACGGAACAACACAGGGAAACUUGUGCUAAUACCGUAUACGCCCUAAGGGGGAAAGAUUUAUCGGAAUUAGAUGAGCCCGCGUAAGAUUAGCUAGUUGGUGGGGUAAUGGCCUACCAAGGCGACGAUCUUUAGCUGGUCUGAGAGGAUGAUCAGCCACACUGGGACUGAGACACGGCCCAGACUCCUACGGGAGGCAGCAGUGGGGAAUAUUGGACAAUGGGCGAAAGCCUGAUCCAGCCAUGCCGCGUGAGUGAUGAAGGCCUUAGGGUUGUAAAGCUCUUUCAGUAGGGAAGAUAAUGACGGUACCUACAGAAGAAGCCCCGGCUAACUUCGUGCCAGCCGCCGCGGUAAGAC
rnacentral:rRNA from 1 species